rnacentral:rRNA from 1 species
CUAUUUAGUUAAGCCUAAGGAUUAACGGGAUAAAUUAUAUGGUUUGGCGGCUAAGUCGUUUUAGAGGGGCUUGCUUAUAAUCGACGGGCCUCGUUAGCUCUCACCUAUUUAAUUUAUGUACACCGCCAUUUAGGUAAUUUAAUAAAAAUAAUUAGGGGGGUUAGUUAGUUAAGCUAGGUCAAGGUGCAGAGUGCUUAGGAAUAGUUAGCUACAAUACCUAGUAAUUACAUGUAAAUUAUUUAGCAUAAAUUGAUAAGUGGAUUUAAAAGUAAUUUUAUAGGUAUGAUGUUUAAGAUUUAGUGUACAAAUUGCCCGUCAAUCUCUUAGAGAUAAGUCGAAACAAAGUAGAAAAACCGGAAGGUUUUUCUACA